rnacentral:lncRNA from 1 species
CAGGAAAUUUAAUUGUAGAUUUUUUAAGUUUUAAUCGGUUUAAAUCAAGCAAAGUUACUCUACCAGCUUUGACAGUAGUGACGUCACAACUUCUCUGUGUCAGCAGUUGGCAGAAAUAAUGGCAUCUCUGCUAACUUUACCCAAAUUUGUUUGCACAAUAGAUUUUCAUGCAAUCGGUUCUGUUAGAAUUGUUUAAUGCAUUCUUUUCAUCUGCUUUACCCUGUGGAUUAGAACACUCACCUCACUUUUUGUUAUCCUGUGUCUUCCUAGUUUCACAACAGCGAAGUUUCCUUUUCCUAUCGUUUUCUCGAUGUCAUAAAACCCCACCCGUAUUUGUCCCUUGGGUCUCUCCGCCAUGACCAUCUUUUAAGUUUUAUUUUUAAAUUCCUUUUGAUUUUCAUAUGCAUUCGAAAUGUUAUCCAGUGUUUCAUAAAUCUUGUACAAUCCUUCUGUAACUCGCAUGGCGGUAAUAAGUGCGAGACCGGGUCUGUGACGUGAGCGCUGACGUAAAUCUGGUUAGAUAUUGACCGGUUUUCUUUGAACGAUAGUUUCGUAUCCCAUGUUGCUAAGGUAGCUUCUUCGAAUGACGUAUUGAACAAAGUGGU